AGCCUCUUAAUUAAAAAUUUAAGAGACAAGAUAUAGAGCGUUUGGUGGGCUAUGAAUAACUCUUAAUUUCUUAAAAUCCUCUUAAACUUUCAGACCUAAACUUACAUAUGAAUAAACAAAAUACACGCCUUCCCUGUAUUGCCCUCGUAUCUCAUAUGAACGCAACUCACCUUCAUCAGAUCCUCUCAUGUCUCCUCCCACCUCCGACCAACUCCAACGCCAACCACCUCCUCCCAUCACCGAACACCUCAUCCCAUCGCCGGCCACCUAUUCCCAUCGUUGAUUCACACAGCACCGCCGCCCCAUCGUAAACAUCGCACACCUACAAGUUUCACACGACUUCUAAUAUCACUUCCACCUCCAUGAAAUCGACUCCCAUCUCCAAACUACGACCUACGACGCCAAGCUCCGACAUCGUUGGUUUUACCCUCGAAAGCGCCGCCCUCUCCAGGUUCCGCCCUCGACAACGUCGGUCUCUACCAGGCGAUCUCCAAUCUCCUUCGUUGGUCAGAUGAUGAUGGAUGAAGGCUGUGAUGUUUUUUGGUCAAAAUUGUUCCUCUUCUAUUUCUCAUUUGAGCAAUUGGAACUUUAGGCAUUGAUGUUUGACUUUGAACAAUUAGAACUUUGGAUGAAACUAAUGUUGAAUGUUCCAUUUCUGUCUUUUUUCUAGAAAAGAUAUAUAAGAUUGUAUUUGUAUGAAACUAAUGUUGAAUGUUCCAUGCUUAUGCAAUGGGAUAUUGUUGGACAAGAAAGGUUCAGGAUAAUCACCGGUAGCUAACCAUAUAUCAUUGAUUUGGAGCACAAAGAAUGAAUGGAAUGGUUUUAAUUUUCUGAUUUAUUCAAAGUUUUUCUUUGUAUUUUCUUAGAUAAAGGUAUUAUACUUGUCAAGAUGUGUAAAUGAAUGUGGUUGUAUACAUGUAAUGUGAUCCAUAUAAGCAUAGAGCUCAAGGUGUUUUAAUAGCUAUUGUAAGAUUGUUUUUGUACGGUUUAAAUACAAGAAAUAGCAAUGUAAUUUUAUUUAUUUAUUUAUUAUAGCAUCAUACUUUUACCUCUUUA